AUGAACGCUGGCGGCGUGCCUAAUACAUGCAAGUCGAGCGAACAGAUAAGGAGCUUGCUCCUUUGACGUUAGCGGCGGACGGGUGAGUAACACGUGGGUAACCUACCUAUAAGACUGGGAUAACUUCGGGAAACCGGAGCUAAUACCGGAUAAUAUUUCGAACCGCAUGGUUCGAUAGUGGAAGAUGGUUUUGCUAUCACUUAUAGAUGGACCCGCGCCGUAUUAGCUAGUUGGUAAGGUAACGGCUUACCAAGGCGACGAUACGUAGCCGACCUGAGAGGGUGAUCGGCCACACUGGAACUGAGACACGGUCCAGACUCCUACGGGAGGCAGCAGUAGGGAAUCUUCCGCAAUGGGCGAAAGCCUGACGGAGCAACGCCGCGUGAGUGAUGAAGGUCUUCGGAUCGUAAAACUCUGUUAUUAGGGAAGAACAUACGUGUAAGUAACUGUGCACGUCUUGACGGUACCUAAUCAGAAAGCCACGGCUAACUACGUG
rnacentral:rRNA from 1 species